rnacentral:rRNA from 1 species
CCUACGGGGGGCUGCAGUGGGGAAUAUUGGACAAUGGGGGAAACCCUGAUCCAGCCAUGCCGCGUGAGUGAUGAAGGCCUUAGGGUUGUAAAGCUCUUUUGUCAGGGAAGAUGAUGACGGUACCUGAAGAAUAAGCACCGGCUAACUUCGUGCCAGCAGCCGCGGUAAUACGAAGGGUGCUAGCGUUGUUCGGAAUCACUGGGCGUAAAGCGCGCGUAGGCGGCUUAACAAGUCAGGGGUGAAAUCCCAGAGCUUAACUCUGGAACUGCCUUUGAAACUGUUAAGCUGGAGUGUCGGAGGGGAUGGCGGAAUUGCUAAUGUAGAGGUGAAAUUCGUAGAUAUUAGCAGGAACACCGGUGGCGAAGGCGGCCAUCUGGACGACAACUGACGCUGAGGCGCGAAAGCGUGGGGAUCAAACAGGAUUAGAUACCCUAGUAGUC